GUUUACAAGCUAGCAAAACGGUUAGCAUAAGUUUGGCAGACAAUGUGGAUGUUACAAGGAACCGAACUAAAGAUGCUGGGAACGACUGGAGGCAAAAGGACAUCUUGACAACCCUAACUCAGCUGCAACAGCAGAACCAGCCCCUCUGCGGCUUAAGGACAACUUCAGCUUGAUAGAAAAAUGGGGGGCAGUUACCUUUUGGGUCUAGUGUUUCCCUGUCCCUUAUAUGCCUUGUGAAUCACUGUUUUAAAUGGGAGAUGCCGACCACAGUCUUUGUUUGUUGCUUCCGAUAGUAUUUUGAAAUAGCCUCUUAUAUAGUUAUAUUGGGCAAAAUGUCCUGCGUGAGAGUGUGAUUAGUAAAUGAUAUACCCAUGGCUGCAUUACAUUUGUGCUGCACCUCAAGCCUUGUCCAUACAGCCACCAGCUUGUUCAACGCAUUUCUUGUCAGGCCAUUAUUCCUAGUCUACCUGUUCAAGUGGAAGCAUUUGAUGGGUUAACUUACUUUAUAUGUAGUAGUACUCUGUGUGCUACUUUGUGUGUUUUGUUGGAAGGUCUGUGGAAAAUUGUGUUUAUAAGGCUUAGCUUGACCUUGGACCAUGACGAGUUUUAGGGUGUGCAAGUGAGUUUAUGCUGUGUAGUCAUCUUUUUUUGGUGGUCUUGGUCCUUUGUAAAAUAGAAACUUUUUUAUUUUGCCCUCUGUGUGGGGUUGUUGAGUGGCCAGUAGCUGUCAUCUGAAAUGGAAAACCCUCACAACAGCAUACAAGGAUACAAGGAAGUUUAUUGUCACAUGCAUAUAGUUACUGGAAGUAAGAAAUGCAGUGAAAUUAUGUCUGGUGUCAGCCUAUUUGAUCACCCAGUGCAUUGGUGUUUUGCAGAACUUGCAUAGAAUUUGUGACAUGAUUGACAUAAAGGUUUUUUGCAUGUAUUCAACAUUAGUCGGAGUUCUAAAAUUCAAGAUCAAUGACUGUUUUGAGGUGACUGAAACAAAGUGCAAUCAAGAUUCCUGUUAGGGAAAAAUAAUCUUCAUGGCCAUUCUUCAUGACAUUGCAGUAUGUUGUCAUUUGUACUCUCAUCAGAGUAUUAUCAUUGCAAUUUGUCAUACAGACACAAUAUUUUUUUACUGUAAUUAACUUCUCUGUGUUUGAUUACAAAAUGAGUAUUGUGGAGUUUUUGGGAGUAAUCCUAACAGCUAAUGGGUACCUGGGUAAUCCUAACGGCUAAUGUUAUUUUACACAGUAAAAUCCGCAUUUGAAAGCCUGGUCACCAGUUGCCAGUUUGUAUG